rnacentral:rRNA from 1 species
UACAGAGGGUGCAAGCGUUAAUCGGAAUUACUGGGCGUAAAGCGCUCGUAGGCGGGUACCUAAGUCGAUUGUGAAAGCCCUGGGCUUAACCUGGGAACUGCAGUCGAUACUGGGUAUCUAGAGUAUGAUAGAGGAUAGUGGAAUUCCCGGUGUAGCAGUGAAAUGCGUAGAUAUCGGGAGGAACACCAGUGGCGAAGGCGACUUUCUGGAUCAAUACUGACGCUGAGGAGCGAAAGCGUGGGGAGCAAACAGG